AUGGCCAUACCACAUUGAAAACACCGUUCUCGUCCGAAUAUCGAAGUUAAGGAAUGUCAGGCCCGGUCAGUACUUGGGAGGGUGACCACUUGGGAACAAAGACAUUGUUCCGACUAAUUGGCCAAAUAGGGAUCGUCUUAUAGUCAUACUACAAAGAUGCGUACUGAAACAGACUAUCCACGGCAUUGGACAUGGGAAUACCGGGUGCUGUAAGCU